rnacentral:lncRNA from 1 species
UAAAAUUGAAUCCAUCUGGCCCCGGGCUUUUCGAGCCAUCACAUUGCCACACUGCUUCUUUUACUUCCUCUUUUGUAAAAUCCGAGAUUAAACUUACAUUGUCAUCUGAGGAUAUUGAGCGAAAUUUCACUCCCCCCAGUCUGACCCCAAAAUCCUUUGUAGCCGAUAAUCUAUCCUCGAAUAAUUUUUUUGCUUCCAUUUGCA